rnacentral:rRNA from 1 species
UCCUGCCCAGUGACACAGUUCAACGGCCGCGGUAUCCUAACCGUGCAAAGGUAGCAUAAUCACUUGCCCAUUAAUUGUGGGCUAGAAUGAAAGGACUAACGAAAUAAAAGCUGUCUCCAUAAGUUAAAUAAAAAUUAAUCUCUAACUGAAGAGUGUUAGAUUCAGUCGAAGGACAAGAAGACCCUAUAGAGCUUCAUUUUAACAGAGACUAACCCCUCUACUAAGAUUCGGUUGGGGCGACCAAGGACAUUACAAUCAUCCUUCAUCAAAAGAUAAAUUAAUCCGAAAAAGACCCUUAAUCAAGAUCACAAAAACAAGCUACCUUAGGGAUAACAGGCUAAUCCCGCUAGAGAGUCCUUAUCAAUAGCGGGGGUUGGCACCUCGAUGUUGGCUUAGGGUAUCUAUGCAGCGCAAAAGUUGUAUAAAGAUGGUUUGUUCAACCAAUAAUACCCUACAUGAGCUGAGUUCAGACCGGCGUAAGCCAGGUUAGUUUCUAUCCACGAUAAAAACACCUAUCUAUAGUACGAAAGGACCUAGGUAAGGAUAAUUAUUAUAAAAUAAGAACAAAUAUAACGUUAAAUAAAUGCAUAAAUUCAUAAACUAUGUAGUGCGUUGGCAGAAUAGUGCCACCGACUUAGGAUCGGUUCAUGGGUUUUACCCACCCACUAUCUGCAACUUAGUUUAUUUAGAAUAAUCAACUUGCACUUGAUAGGAGAGACUUCUCAGUAGCGGCUCGAUGUUUUGGAAACAUUAGACCUUGAACGUCUACCUAAGAUGUUCGACUCAUC